rnacentral:lncRNA from 1 species
CCGGGGACCGGCCUCCGCCGCGGGCUCUGCCCGCUCGCCUGCUCGCCUGGUGGGGGAGAGGGGAGCGGGGCCGACACAGGGUUCCUGACCAAGCUGGUGCUUCUGCGUGUGUUCCUGCAUGACUUGGUGUGUCCCCUUCUCUUGGAUCUACUGCAGUUGACAGCAGAUAACUGAAAGCUCGGAAAGCGAAACCGUGGAUAAGCAGGGGAACUGUGGCAUCCCAUUUAAAAUUGCUUCUGAAGAGAAGCAUGAGGUUACAUCUGUAAUCUCCCUGCAGCAGAGUCAACUGCAUAAGAAACCAAAAGACACACCUGCUCCAUGCCAGUUUCUGUGGGCCUCAAACAACACUUUCUGCAUUUUCCCCUCUCGCCCCCUACUCAUCACUCCCUGAAAGGUAAAAGCUGCUGAAACACAUCAAGAGCCAAAGGAAUUCAGAUUGCUGAAAGGUCAUCACUUUGAUAUGAUAAAUAUUAAGAGCAUUCCCAAAGGCAAAAUUUCCAUUGUAGAAGC